rnacentral:rRNA from 1 species
UGCAGUCGAGGGGUAUAAGUCUUCGGACUUAGAGACCGGCGCACGGGUGCGUAACGCGUAUGCAAUCUACCUUUCACAGAGGGAUAGCCCAGAGAAAUUUGGAUUAAUACCUCAUAGUAUUAUGGAAUGGCAUCAUUUUAUAAUUAAAGUCACAACGGUGAAAGAUGAGCAUGCGUCCCAUUAGCUAGUUGGUAAGGUAACGGCUUACCAAGGCUACGAUGGGUAGGGGUCCUGAGAGGGAGAUCCCCCACACUGGUACUGAGACACGGACCAGACUCCUACGGGAGGCAGCAGUGAGGAAUAUUGGACAAUGGGCGCAAGCCUGAUCCAGCCAUGCCGCGUGCAGGAUGACGGUCCUAUGGAUUGUAAACUGCUUUUGCACAGGAAGAAACACUGAUUCGUGAAUCAGCUUGACGGUACUGUGAGAAUAAGGAUCGGCUAACUCCGUGCCAGCAGCCGCGGUAAUACGGAGGAUCCAAGCGUUAUCCGGAAUCAUUGGGUUUAAAGGGUCCGUAGGCGGUCUAGUAAGUCAGUGGUGAAAGCCCAUCGCUCAACGGUGGAACGGCCAUUGAUACUGCUGGACUUGAAUUACUGGGAAGUAACUAGAAUAUGUAGUGUAGCGGUGAAAUGCUUAGAGAUUACAUGGAAUACCAAUUGCGAAGGCAGGUUACUACCGGUGGAUUGACGCUGAUGGACGAAAGCGUGGGUAGCGAACAGGAUUAGAUACCCUGGUAGUCCACGCCGUAAACGAU